rnacentral:misc_RNA from 1 species
UCCUGGUCUGGUCUCGUGUCG